rnacentral:rRNA from 1 species
AUUGAACGCUGGCGGCAGGCCUAACACAUGCAAGUCGAACGAGCGGCGGACGGGUGAGUAAUGUUUGGGGAACUGCCCGAUAGAGGGGGAUAACUACUGGAAACGGUAGCUAAUACCGCAUACUAUCGGAUGUGCCCAGAUGCGAUUAGCUAGUAGGUGGGGUAACGGCUCACCUAGGCGACGAUCCCUAGCUGGUCUGAGAGGAUGACCAGCCACACUGGAACUGAGACACGGUCCAGACUCCUACGGGAGGCAGCAGUGGGGAAUAGGGGAAAAUGGGCGCAAGCCUGAUGCAGCCAUGCCGCGUGUAUGAAGAAGGCCUUCGGGUUGUAAAGUACUUUCAGCGAGGAGGCGUUACUCGCAGAAUAAGCACCGGCUAACUACGUGCCAGCAGCCGCGGUAAUAC